GCUGGGGUUACAGGCCUGAGCCACCGUGCCUGGCCAAAGACAUUUGUUUUUUUUUUUUUUUUCUAGUUUUGGCCUGUAAUGAGUAAUGCUGCUGCACAUGUUCUUGUGUGUGUCUUUUGAUGCAUAUCAGAAUGAAUUUCUGUUGGGUAUAUCCCUACGAAACAAAUUGCAUAUGUUCAACUUUAGUAGGUAUGGCCCAUUUUCUGAAGUGGCUGUGCUGAUCUUUCUCCCACUAGCAGUGUAUGAGAAAUGAGAGUUUCAUUUCCUUUACAUCCUUGUCAGUGAACACUAGGUAUUGUCAAUCUAUUUUAUUACUUCAGCCAUUCUGAUAGGUGCAUAAUGAUAUCUCAUUGUGUCUGUGCGUGUAUGUAUGUAGGUGGUUUUGUACUUCCCUGAUUACUAAUGAAGUUACACACCUUUUCACCUUUUUACUAGCAUUUGGGUAUUGUCUUUUACAAAUUUUCUAUUGAAGUCAUUUGCCAGUUCUUAAAAAACUUUGUUGAGAUAUAAUUCACAAACGAUAUGGUUCACCCACUUAAAGUAUACAGACCAAUAAUUUUUGGUAUUUUACAUUAUUUUAAAAAUUGUGGUAAAAUAUAUAUAACAUAACAUUUACCAUUUUAACCAUUUUAAGUAUAUGAUUCAGUGGCAUUAAGUACAUUUGCAUUGUUGUGCAGCUAUCACCACUAUUUCCAACACUUUUAUGUUGCCCUAAACAGAAGCUAUAACUAUUAAGCAAUACCUCCCAGUUUCCACCUAACCCCUGGUAACCUCUAAUCUACUUCUUAUCUCUAUAAAUUUACCUGUUCCACAUACCUCAUAUAAGUAGAAUUAUACAACAUUUAUCCUUUGUGUCUGGGUAUUUAUUUCACUUGGCAUAGUAGAUUUAUUUCACUUGUCAUAAUGUUUUCGAGGUUCAUUCAUGUUGUAGCAUAUACCAGAACUUCAUUUCUUUUUAUUGCUGAAUAAUUUUUCAUUGUAUGAAUAUACCACAUUUUAUAUGCUCAUCUGUUGACGGAUACUUGGGCUUCUUGCCAGUUUUCAAAAUUAAGGAGUCAGUGUCCCCUCCCACUCCCUUGGUUUCAGUGGGUUUAAAAAACAUGUUUGUUGAAGUACUGGCACAUUAUUGUUUAUAUGUGUUGUAAAAUCUCUUACUCUGUGACUUGCUUUUUUACUUUCUCAGUUUGGCGUCUUUUAAAGAACAGAAGUUCUUAAUAUUAAGUGAUUCAUUUAAGCAACUUUUUUCUCCUUUACUAGCAUUUUUUGUGUCUUGACUACAAAUUUUUUGCCUUUCCUAAUGUCAUAAAGAUAUUUCCUGUUAUCCUUUGUAAGCUAUACUGUUUUACCUUUUAUAUUUCAACCUACAGCCUAUCUGGAAUUCAUUGUCUUGUGUGCAAUGAGAGUUGGGGGUAAGGACAAAAUUUUUUUUUUUUUUUUUUUGGUGAUGGCUGGCUUAUUUAUGUUUAGCCUUUUUAGGAAGAUAAGAUGUGGUCUUAUACUUUGUUUUACCUGUAGAAUCUAGUACAGUGCCUUGCAUAUGGUGAGUGAUCAAUAAACUCUUAUUAAUAAAUAAGUCAUGAAGACUCAUCUCCCAAAAAACACAUAGGGUCCCAAACAGAAUUCUGUAUAUGAAUGCUAUGUAAGCAUUAUUUUUUUCCUCCUUUUGUUGUCUUUUUCCUCCUCCUCUGUUGUCACCAUCAUCUUUAUCACUGUCAUAUCCUUUUACUUCAUUAACAUAAUCUUCAUCAUCUGGAGUUGAGGUUAAGUUUUUAAUCUCACAAUAUUAAUUUUUCUAUUAUAUAGUAAUUUGUUUUAAAAUAAUCAUUUUAGUUUUAAAUGGCCUUUUACAUUGUUGAAUCCUUUGCAUCAUAUAACCACUGCCUACAUUUGUAUUGUACAAGGGAUUUUAACCUGUGACCAAAAGAUGGUUUUCGGGGAGGUCACAGAAAUUUCAUUCCAAAUUUAGUGUUAUAUGCAUUUGACAUUAUUCGUUUCCCUGGGGAGAGUGUCUCAUCAACUUUUAAAAAUAUGGUAUUUCAUUUUCCAACAAACUAUUGAGAACCUAUUCUAUAUACACCACUGUGAGUUAUAAAGAGAUGUUCAAUAUAUCUAGUCUUAAGUAACUUUAUACUUAUAUAACUACAGUUGGAAUUAUAACUGUAGUUACAGUUUGGAGAUGUAUGUGAAUCAGGAAAGAAGUAAUUGCAGAAUACUUAUUAUCAGGAUUGUGUGGGGAAACAGAAGUAUAGAUAUAUCAUAGUUAAAAUGUCAUGUGGAAGAAGAUAUAGCCAGAUAGCUAAUAAACUUGUGUAUUGCCUGUCUGGUCUUUAUCCCAGCCAGUGAGGCAUGGCACAUCUGAUUCUUAUGUAUUCAGUGGUUUGUAAGGAGAAAAAGAACAACUGAGGGUUUAUUAUACUCCAGGCAUCUGGGGAUAGAAGGAUGACAAAUGUGGAUGAUCCAGUGUUCAAGUUUAGACUAAACUUCCAUGAUUUACUCUGAAAGACAGACAUGACUUAGCUCAUUAUGGUGUCAUGUAUUACAUUUGUGGAGUGAGUGAAGUGUAAUUUCCUGCUCAAUUCUCAUUCUUGUCCUCACCAAGCCAUUCGAUUUUCCCUGGUAGUAUGUAUUCUUUGGAGUAUGGUCCUUUGGAGUCUGCACGCUGUGCAACUGUGCAUGAGUAUGUAAAAGUGAUGACAUCGAGGCAGUGACAGAAAACAGGUGGAGUCUGAGGCAGUGCACCUGGUUACUCAGGAUUACAUGAAGUAUAUGAGAGACCAAGCAGUGUCUGUGUGUCCUUAUAAGGGGAUUGACAGAGGCCUGUGUUACAAUGUAGAGGUCUGUGCAGGGAUUUCAAGAUCAGUGUCUUCCUCUGUUUGGGCCGCAGUAACAGAAUACGACAGACUUGGUGGCUUAUAAACCACAGAAAUGUAUUUCUCACAGUUUUAGAGGCUGGGGAGUCUAAGAUCAAGGUGCCUGCAAAUUUAAUGUCUAGCAGCCUGCUUCCUGGCUUGUGAACAGCUCUCUUCUUGCGGUGUCCUCACAUAGUGGAAGGGGCAAAGAGCUCCCUGGGGCCUCUUUUAUGAUGGCAUAAAUCUCAUGUGUGAGAGGUCCACCAUCAUGACCUAAUCAUCUCCCAAAGACUCCGCCUUCAGGUAUCACCACUUUGGGUUUUAGGUUUCAAUAUAUGAAUUUUGUGGGGGAUACAAACAUUCAGUCUAUAGCAAUCAGAGACAAAUGGCCAGGAUCACAGUACAGGGGUGGGAACCUGCACACACCCACCACUGUUCCCGUUCAAUAACAGCAACAAUGGAAAGAAAACCCUCACAAAGGAGCAUUCAUAUUUUACUGGUUACCAGUCUGGCCUAGUCUGUCAAGAUACUCUCCAGCAGAGGCAGGAAGAUACCGUCUUGAAGCAAAGCAGCACAAGGGGAAAGAAAUCUGAAAGACCGAGAAUUUCUCUGAGCUAUUGAAAAGAGAAAUCUAGAGGUU